GACGAACGCUGGCGGCGUGCUUAACACAUGCAAGUCGAACGGAAAGGCCUAGCUUGCUGGGUACUCGAGUGGCGAACGGGUGAGUAACACGUGGGUGAUCUGCCCCUGACUUUGGGAUAAGCCUGGGAAACUGGGUCUAAUACCGGAUAUUCAUUUUUCCUCGCAUGGGGAUUUGUGGAAAGCUUUUGCGGUUGGGGAUGGGCCCGCGGCCUAUCAGCUUGUUGGUGGGGUAAUGGCCUACCAAGGCGACGACGGGUAGCCGACCUGAGAGGGUGAUCGGCCACACUGGGACUGAGACACGGCCCAGACUCCUACGGGAGGCAGCAGUGGGGAAUAUUGCACAAUGGGCGCAAGCCUGAUGCAGCGACGCCGCAUGAGGGAUGACGGCCUUCGGGUUGUAAACCUCUUUCAGCUCCGACGAAGCGCAAGUGACGGUAGGAGCAGAAGAAGCACCGGCCAACUACGUG
rnacentral:rRNA from 1 species